rnacentral:lncRNA from 1 species
UCAUACAUAAAAGAGCGUCAAAUCAUCAAUAUUACCAGCCCACCAAUAAAGAUGUUGUUACUGAUGUGUAUCGAUUCUUUUCUAGAGUUAAUUUUGGCCCACUGAAGAACAAAGACCAAAUGACAAAGAAUGGCCAAGAGAAGGGAAGGGCUGCCACCAGAAGACAAGUGACUUCAAAGAAUUUCUGGGAGAUAAAAAUCUGACAGCAGUACA